rnacentral:rRNA from 1 species
UACUUAGGGGGCAAGCGUUAUCCGGAUUUAUUGGGCGUAAAGCGUGCGUAGGCGGUUUAUUAAGUCUGAAAUAAAAGCCCGAGGCUCAACCUCGGUUCGUUUCAGAUACUGGUAGACUAGAGUAUGGUAGAGGCGAAUGGAAUUCCUAGUGUAGCGGUGAAAUGCGUAGAUAUUAGGAGGAACACCAGUGGCGAAGGCGAUUUGCUGGGCCAUCACUGACGCUGAGGUACGAAAGCGUGGGUAGCAAAUA